UACAGAGGUCUCAAGCGUUGUUCGGAUUCAUUGGGCGUAAAGGGUGUGUAGGUGGCGCCGUAAGUCAGGUGUGAAGUUUCGGAGCUUAACUCCGAAACUGCAUUCGAUACUGCCGUGCUUGAGGACUGGAGAGGAGACUGGAAUUUACGGUGUAGCGGUGAAAUGCGUAGAUAUCGUAAGGAAGACCAGUGGCGAAGGCGGGUCUCUGGACAGUUCCUGACGCUGAGGCACGAAGGCCAGGGGAGCAAACGGG
rnacentral:rRNA from 1 species